rnacentral:rRNA from 1 species
GGGGAAUUUUGGACAAUGGGCGAAAGCCUGAUCCAGCAAUGCCGCGUGUGUGAAGAAGGCCUUCGGGUUGUAAAGCACUUUUGUCCGGAAAGAAAUGGCUCUGGUUAAUACCUGGGGUCGAUGACGGUACCGGAAGAAUAAGGACAGGCUAACUACGUGCCAGCAGCCGCGGUAAUACGUAGGGUCCAAGCGUUAAUCGGAAUUACUGGGCGUAAAGCGUGCGCAGGCGGGGGUGCAAGACCGAGGUG